GCCGGGAUAGCUCAGAUGGCUUAGAGCGCCUGACUGUGGAUCAGGAGGUCGGGGGUUCGAAUCCCCCUCCCGGUACCA
rnacentral:tRNA from 1 species